UUCAUUUGCCAGUCCAGCCGAUGGCUAAAGAGUUGAAAUCACUGAGAGCUGAAAUCAGUGGUUUGGCUAAGAGCCAGACCAAUUACAGCCAGUGAAGUGGCGGCGACCAGCAGAGUAGCUGGUGGCGUAAUGUGGCCGGUAGGAGCAGCGGCAGGUGAGGAGUGGUGAGGAGCAGCGACCAGCAGUGUGGCAUGGAGCGGCGGCAGGCGAGGAGCAGCAUGGCAUGGAGCGGUGGCAGGCGAGGAGUGGCAACCAGCGACGGCAGCAGGCGAGGAGCUGAGGCAGGCGACCAGCGAAACGUCCUGUCACGUAGGACGAGACAGCUGGUGGAGUGUGGCGGAGUGUCGCAGUCUUAACAGUGAAGUGAAAGAUGAGGUGAUUCUGGAAAGCCACCCGAUGACUCCCAACUAGUCAAGCAUGGUUCAUCAAGGUCAAUUUAGAGGUUCACAAACUGAGUCAGAAUAUGACCUGCCAGUUUAUAUAUGCACAAAUGUAAAUGUGAACAACACUAACACAAGACAGAAAGUGAAGAUGAAUACCGCAACCUACAAGAACUUAAAUAAUCUGUUUUUAAGGUGCUUACAGGCUCAGUAAAAGUUUUUACUCUUUUCCUUCACUCUUAAUUGCCCCAAACUCCAUUUCACUGCAACAAGCAAGCAGAUGGCUCUGCACUCUUCUUCUCAUAUUUAUCAUGUUCAAUAUUUUCAUGUUUAUAUGCCUUACUGAAACAUUUUUGCCUGUCUUAAUUAUUGCUAUCAUUUGUUUCCCUUUAAAACUCUACAGCUUACUAUAUGUUUACACGUUAGCUUUGUUUUCAACUAUCAUCCUGAAGUCAAUAGUUCUUUAUACAUCUAGUUUUGUAUUUGUUAUUUUGGUGUCUCUGUGGCCUCAUAUGUCACAUUCUCUAAUGUGAUAAGGCCAUUUUACACCACAUUUCCUUGUAAACUGAAUCUAUAGCUUGUGUAACUGACCAGUGAAUAUUAUCCAUAGGCAAAGCUGAUAAACAGGGGGCAUAGCUCUUGCUUAGAGGCUUUGUGCCAGUGAUAAGGAUUCAUGAUUGCAGGAUAGUGAGUGUGUGCUAGUAUACCCUUCACUCUGAUACUCACCAUUUUUGGCCAUUUAUGACCAUAUGCAAGAGACAUAACAUAAAGCAUUCGUCCUAGUGAUUUAAUCUGCUGCAGAGAAAUCAGCCUUGCACAGGAUUAGGGGAGUUUGAAAGAUGAGAUCUAAACCAAUUUUUCACAUCAUCCUGGCCAGAUAGAUAUUUACAAUUUUUGAGAAAAGUGACAUCGUUCUCAACUACCAGACUACGUUUGUCGAUGAAGCAAUGCAGCACUUAAUGGACAAUUGCAAAGUGAUGCUGCCCUUGGGUGAAGUGAGAGAUGAAAAGCUAAUAACACUCACCAUCUGCUCAAUGUUCUGGCUGGACUUCUGGAAACUACUCUUUUAGCCUAAGAGUCCAUAAAACUCGAAUCCCAUCAUUUGGUGUUAAUUGAAUGUCAGAGGGUGUGUCUAGACUACAGGGUUUUUUCGAAAAAAGUGGCCUUUUUUUUGAAAAA